rnacentral:rRNA from 1 species
GACGUAGGAGGCGAGCGUUGUCCGGAUUCAUUGGGCGUAAAGAGCACGCAGGCGGUUUGGCAAGUCGGAUGUGAAAACCCGAAGCUCAACUUCGGGCCUGCAUCCGAAACUGCCCGACUAGAGGUAGGUAGGGGAGAUCGGAAUUCCUGGUGUAGCGGUGAAAUGCGCAGAAUAUCAGGAGGAACACCGGUGGCGAAGGGCGG